UUGUCAUUCAUGACGUCCAUGACUUUCAUGACCGUUCAUGACGACGGUCAAAUUUUCGAAUCGACUACAAAUUUGGCAGUAUUGUUCGCAUUAUAAGGCAAUGUCUUGUAUGUUUUAACGCUGAAUCUCAUAAAUUCAUAAAACACACAGAAAGGGGACUUCAAAUUGCUCUUUUUAUCAAGAGUUUAAUAAAUAAAGUAUUCUGACAUGAUGACUAGAAGCCGGAAUUCUUCAGUGAGAAGAAACAUCCAUUGCUACGUUAAGGCAAUAACACAUGGCGGUGUCACUAGGCGAGCGUUCGUUGCAGAAUGACCGGUAACCACCUUUUGAUUGAUGCAACAAAAAGAGUUGUUGGAACAGCUCUCCUUAGUGAGUUGUGAGACGGUUGUCAGCAGUAAGGACAUGAACAUGGAAGCUGAGGAAGGUAUGGUGUUAAAGCCGUUACCAGGCGACAACCAGUGAAGCUACAGCAGAAUGAGAAGACUUUGUGCAUGCUGUAGUGAAUUGUGUGUGAAUUAGUGACAGCGCUACAGGUACUGUAAGUAAUCUGUAAUCUGUAAAUUAGUACCUCCAACGAUGAGCUUCUGGCAGUUGUCCAGCAGUGGCGCCGGGAUACCCCCAAAGAAUGGUUUGCUGUGCAAAUACUGAAACUGCUAGAAUGAUGGCAGAGGUGCAUAGACAUUGGUGGGGAAUACCUCUAAUAUAAUCUGUAUGUACUUUGUUCCAGUAAAUGGUUACUGCGAAGAAAAAACAUUUAGUGUCAAUCAUUUUUGAACACCCCUAGUAAUACAUAUAAAAUGAUCAAUGAAGGAAAUAAUAAGGUGGCAAUAAUUACAUGAGGAGCUUUGCAGUUUGUAUUCUUCGCUUUGUGGAUAAAGGUUAUAAAAUUGAGGAUGAGAUGGAUAGGAUAUGAGGAAUUAAAGCUGCAUAUAAAAUUAAUCUUGAAAGUGACAGCAUAUGAGUAUGUAGCAUGGUGAAUCUCUUACUGAUUAUCUGUUAAAGGCUCAAGAAGACUACACUGUGUAGUUUAGUUAUUCAUUUAUUGUUAUAUAUGCAUAAUUGAAGGUUACAAUGGCCCUAAUACAAAUUGCAUCUUCGGUGACUCAACAACUGCUGGUCUCUCUGUCACACGCAGUGAGUUGAGAAAUAUUACUUGAACCACUAUAAUGAUAAUUCAGGUUUCUUCAAGUAGCUCCUGUGACUGAUGAAUUCAUUGCUCACAAUGUCAUUUGGAUGUUUUAUAGCAAAAUUAAAAAUAAGCUUAUGUACUACAAUAUAUCCAAAUGCCUGUGUAAUUUGAUAUGGAACACAAAGUUUUAGAUCCUUAAUAAUUUCUAUAUAUACAGGGAUCCAUCUGCUGGGCCUAGAUAAUGAAGUGAUAUU